rnacentral:misc_RNA from 1 species
UGAUUGGUUGGUGUGUUACAACUUUCUUAAUAAGAUCGUUCUGUCUUCAGAUGUAUUAUUCCAUUUCCUUUGUCCUUUUGGGAAUUACUUACCUUGGUGUUGUUUGCAUUUCUACAAUUCAGUUCCUAAUAUCAUGACUAAGGUUGUGGCUUUAUAAUCCCUAUACUGGAUAUUGACCACCUUAUAUUGGUUCUUGAGAAGCCCUCAGUUUUGGCUUACUAAUUGUGUAGCUUUAUUCCUUUUGUCAAGG